rnacentral:rRNA from 1 species
CGCGCAGGCGGUCGUGUAAGUCGAAUGUGAAAGCCCCCGGCUCAACUGGGGAGGGUCAUUCGAUACUGCUCGACUCGAAGGCAGGAGAGGGAAGCGGAAUUCCCGGUGUAGUGGUGAAAUGCGUAGAUAUCGGGAGGAACACCAGUGGCGAAGGCGGCUUUCUGGCCUGUUCUUGACGCUGAGGCGCGAAAGCUAGGGGAGCAAACGG